rnacentral:rRNA from 1 species
GACGAACGCUGGCGGCGUGCUUAACACAUGCAAGUCGAACGAAGAGCGACGGAAGCUUGCUUCUAUCAAUCUUAGUGGCGAACGGGUGAGUAACGCGUAAUCAACCUGCCCUUCAGAGGGGGACAACAGUUGGAAACGACUGCUAAUACCGCAUACGAACUAACCUCGGCAUCGAGGAUAGAUGAAAGGUGGCCUCUACAUGUAAGCUAUCACUGAAGGAGGGGAUUGCGUCUGAUUAGCUAGUUGGAGGGGUAACGGCCCACCAAGGCGAUGAUCAGUAGCCGGUCUGAGAGGAUGAACGGCCACAUUGGGACUGAGACACGGCCCAGACUCCUACGGGAGGCAGCAGUGGGGAAUCUUCCGCAAUGGACGAAAGUCUGACGGAGCAACGCCGCGUGAGUGAUGACGGCCUUCGGGUUGUAAAGCUCUGUUAAUCGGGACGAAAGGCCUUCUUGCGAAUAGUGAGAAGGAUUGACGGUACCGGAAUAGAAAGCCACGGCUAACUACGUG